AACAUAGCCUUUAGCCUAACAAGUAUUAAAGGUCCCGCCUGCCCAGUGAUAAUUUUAACGGCCGCGGUAUUCUAACCGUGCAAAGGUAGCGUAAUCACUUGUCUUCUAAAUAAAGACUAGUAUGAACGGCUAAAUGAGGACAAGCCUGUCUCUUAUAACUAAUCAGUGAAACUAAUCUUCCAGUACAAAAGCUGGAAUAUAAACAUAAGACGAGAAGACCCUGUGGAGCUUUAAACCAACCACUACCCCUCAACCUAGUGCGCGGUUUUAAGUUGGGGCGACUUUGGAACAAAGCAAAACUUCCAAGAACAGAACCACACAUUCUAACCAAGGCCAACAAGCCAAAACACAUGACCCAGUAAUACUGAUCAACGAACCAAGUUACCCCAGGGAUAACAGCGCUAUCUUCUUCAAGAGUCCAUAUCGACAAGAAGGUUUACGACCUCGAUGUUGGAUCAGGACACCCAAAUGGUGCAGCCGCUAUUAAAGGUUCGUUUGUUCAACGAUUAAUGUCCUACGUGAUCUGAGUUCAGACCGGAGUAAUCC
rnacentral:rRNA from 1 species